AGCCACCCAGGUGCCCCCAAAACACAUCUUUAAAGGAGUGAAUUCCCUCCCCUGGAGCUGUAGCCAGAUUUUAUGUGGUUCUGGCCUUCUGUUGCCAUCUUUCAGCAUUGCUUUCUGGAGCAGAGCAACCUUCCUAAAGCUUAGUCUAGCUAGUCCUGUGAUGUCUUAUCUGUGUCUUCGGUCAUCACUGCUCACUUCCCACACACACAGAACAUAAUGCAUCAGUUCCUCAACACGUGUUUCAUUAUUCCCUGUUCCCUUUCUUACCAGGAAUGGAGGGAUCCUUAGCAGAACAUCAGAUUGGCCUGAUGAGGCUUUUUCUUACUUCUAGGUCCAUGAAAGGGAGAGGAAGGACUAAUGACUCAGAAAGAGGAAAUCAUAAAGUCUGCAUGUACUAAUAUGCUAACUCUUUGGAGAUUUGAGAGAGAAAUCUUACCUGAACUCUGGACUACCUCUAAAUCUGGUGUGAAGAAUUUACUAAAGAGGUGAAUCUGUUGUUUGGGCUGACCUGGUCCUUGAUGUGCUGCCUGCUUCUGCUACUGAUCCAUACUGCAGAACUUCUCAUUCAUCCCCAAGGCCUCCAAGCAAUGUCCAAUAGGGAAUCGACUCUAAAAGGAACCAGACCAACGUUUCCAGCCCCUUCAUUCUGGUGACUGAGGGAAGGAAGCAGUGGGAGGGGUUAUACAUGUGUAGUGGAUGUGAGGGAAACACAGACUGUCAAAUUACUCUAUCUCUUUAGUUUCUUUCUCAAAUAGAAUUCUGCAACCGUAUUAUUUCUAUUGUGUAAGUAUAGGGGAAGUUGAAGAUGGUGACCUUGAUUAGAAUGUGUCUGAGGGGAAUAAAUGGAGUGUAUGAGAUAAGAGACAGUUGGUUAUGAAAGACGUUGAAGUCUUGAAAUAAUGUGACCAUCUGAGGAAUUUUUUUUAAACCGGAGUUUAUAAAAAUAUCACUGAUACAGCCUGCCCCCUCAUUUCCCGCCACAGGAGACUUCUUGGACUGGAGACACUUGUUUAAUAAUAGCUUGUCUCCGAUAUUCCCAGUAGCUACCUCUCUGUGAGGAAAGGAUAGCAAACGUUAAGGACAUCAUCACACAAAGUUCCAGUAGCAGUGACGCCUACACGGAAGACUUGGAACUGCAAACAGAGGCUGGGGUCACCUCAGUGACAUCUGACGCCGUCCAACCACAAGUUCGAAUUUUGUUUUGUGGGGUGAGGAAGCAGACUGUACUAAAGGACUAAAAUUAUUUCUUGUCUGUA